UGCAGUCGCACGCUUCUUUUUCCACCGGAGCUUGCUCCACCGGAAAAAGAGGAGUGGCGAACGGGUGAGUAACACGUGGGUAACCUGCCCAUCAGAAGGGGAUAACACUUGGAAACAGGUGCUAAUACCGUAUAACAAUCAAAACCGCAUGGUUUUGAUUUGAAAGGCGCUUUCGGGUGUCGCUGAUGGAUGGACCCGCGGUGCAUUAGCUAGUUGGUGAGGUAACGGCUCACCAAGGCCACGAUGCAUAGCCGACCUGAGAGGGUGAUCGGCCACAUUGGGACUGAGACACGGCCCAAACUCCUACGGGAGGCAGCAGUAGGGAAUCUUCGGCAAUGGACGAAAGUCUGACCGAGCAACGCCGCGUGAGUGAAGAAGGUUUUCGGAUCGUAAAACUCUGUUGUUAGAGAAGAACAAGGAUGAGAGUAACUGUUCAUCCCUUGACGGUAUCUAACCAGAAAGCCACGGCUAACUACGUGCCAGCAGCCGCGGUAAUACGUAGGUGGCAAGCGUUGUCCGGAUUUAUUGGGCGUAAAGCGAGCGCAGGCGGUUUCUUAAGUCUGAUGUGAAAGCCCCCGGCUCAACCGGGGAGGGUCAUUGGAAACUGGGAGACUUGAGUGCAGAAGAGGAGAGUGGAAUUCCAUGUGUAGCGGUGAAAUGCGUAGAUAUAUGGAGGAACACCAGUGGCGAAGGCGGCUCUCUGGUCUGUAACUGACGCUGAGGCUCGAAAGCGUGGGGAGCAAACAGGAUUAGAUACCCUGGUAGUCCACGCCGUAAACGAUGAGUGCUAAGUGUUGGAGGGUUUCCGCCCUUCAGUGCUGCAGCUAACGCAUUAAGCACUCCGCCUGGGGAGUACGACCGCAAGGUUGAAACUCAAAGGAAUUGACGGGGGCCCGCACAAGCGGUGGAGCAUGUGGUUU
rnacentral:rRNA from 1 species